rnacentral:rRNA from 1 species
GACAGCCAGGAUGUUGGCUUAGAAGCAGCCAUCAUUUAAAGAAAGCGUAAUAGCUCACUGGUCGAGUCGGCCUGCGCGGAAGAUGUAACGGGGCUAAACCAUGCACCGAAGCUGCGGCAGCGACACUGUGUGUUGUUGGGUAGGGGAGCGUUCUGUAAGCCUGUGAAGGUGUGCUGUGAGGCAUGCUGGAGGUAUCAGAAGUGCGAAUGCUGACAUAAGUAACGAUAAAGCGGGUGAAAAGCCCGCUCGCCGGAAGACCAAGGGUUCCUGUCCAACGUUAAUCGGGGCAGG